UUAGAGAUAGAGGAGUGCCUUCGGGAACGCUGAGACAGGUGCUGCAUGGCUGUCGUCAGCUCGUGUUGUGAAAUGUUGGGUUAAGUCCCGCAACGAGCGCAACCCUUAUCCUUUGUUGCCAGCACGUGAUGGUGGGAACUCAAAGGAGACUGCCGGUGAUAAACCGGAGGAAGGUGGGGAUGACGUCAAGUCAUCAUGGCCCUUACGAGUAGGGCUACACACGUGCUACAAUGGCAGAUACAAAGAGAAGCGACC
rnacentral:rRNA from 1 species